CCGAAAUCGAUCUCAUUCCCAGGAUGGCUGCGAUGAAUCUUGCUGAAUCCUUCCCGGUCCUCAUCACGGGAGAAACCUUCAGAGCAAUAGGCCACCCACUGAAGUCACUUAUUGGCGAAGGAGAGUGUGUGCCAUUCAGCACAAUGAGGGAGGAGCGCGGUAUGCCAGAGUCUGUGUCUCCAGAUCAUAGCAAAGUGUUUGUCCAUCACCUACGAAAAGAAGCACCCCCGUCUCCAAACAUAUGUCUCGUCGAGUACAAAGCCAUUUUCCAAGCAAUGGAUUCGUCAACUAAACUGGCUUUCCUGGAACUUGGGAUGAAUGGAUCAAGCCUAGGAAAGUUACAGAUCCGUCUGCUACAGGAUGCUGGGGCAUCAAAGCAAUUCUGCCUACUUUGCUCUGCUGAGGUUUGGUCCUUCUUACGCAAAUACA